AUGGAGCGAAAUAAAGGGGUUUGUGAGGACCACGCUGGCUGCUGGUGGGGGGCGGGGAGGAGGAAAAAAAAAAAAAAGGAGCAUAAUUAUGUUAUGAUGAGCUGGGGGAAACUGGCAGAGAAAAAUUGUCAUGCAAGGCAUGAUGGAUGCUGCUUUGUCGAUUGGAGCCGCUGGAAUGCAGCCGCAGAGCAAAGAGGCAUAAUCACUCUUUCUCUCCCCUGCCAGCGUGGCAGAGUGCUGCAAGAUGCCACCUCUCUGUGUUUUGUAAUUUUUCUUGACAUAAUCAUGUCAGGUUUGGAGAAUGGCUCGUGGGAUCACUGGUCAUAAAAGUGAAGUAGAUGUCCAUUUUGAGGCCAGAAGCUAUAAUUCUGUUGAGGAGAGAUUUACUGGUGCUUAUUUGCAUUUUGAGAAUUGCAUGGUGGUCUUCUCUUGAGAUCUCUUACAUUAUGGCAGACUCUCCUUUUUUUCAAAUGUAAGAGAGGGAGAGAGUGCGUCCAUCUUCUGGUUCACUUCCUGAAUAUCUGAAAUGGCUGGUGCUGGGCCAGGCCAAAGCUAGGAACUGGGCACUCAGGUCGUCCAUGCAGUUGGCAGGAGGCCAGUUACUUGAGCCUGCGUGAGCGGGUCGCUGGGGUCAGGAGUUACAGUGAGGUGUCAAACUCAGGUCCUCUGAUAAGGAUCCAGGUAUCUUAACCAGCAUCCUAAUUAACUGCGAGGCCAAGUGCCUGCCCUGCUCUCUUUGCGUAUAUGACUUCCAGGGAGGCUAGAUUUUAUUUACAUGGCUUCAGUGCUGUCAUAUUUUACAUCGUGAUGGCUGUCACAGCCAGGAAGGCUCAGCUCAAAGCAUUAAUCUGGUGGCUGGGCUUGGUGGCAAGCGAAUGGAUAUUUUCCACAGGAGUGCAAGGUGCAGUCUGUUUUAUGUAAGAUUUGUAAGAUUUUGAUUUUGUCUGUUUUCAGAUGAAUAAUUUUGUAACUAAAUUCAGAAUCUGAAUAAUGAUUCAGAUAUUUUAACAAAAUUAUUUGAACAGUGUGCUUUUGAUUUUAAUCAAUGGGGAUUAAUAACUUCUAAUUUAGCUGAUAACCAAGGAUAUAUGGAGAAUAUAUCAGCAUGCCACGUGAAAGAAAACCAGUACUCCAAAGAAAAUGCAUCUGAACAUUUUGUUUUAAGAUUUUAUUUAUUUAUUUGACAGGCAGAGUUACAGACAGUGUGAGAGAGAGACAGAGAGAAAGAUCUUCCUUCCGUUGGUUCACUUCCCAAGUGGCUGCAACGGCCAGAGCUGUGCCGAUCCAAAGCCAGGAGCCAGGUUCUUCCUCCUGGUCUCCCAUGCGG
rnacentral:lncRNA from 1 species